rnacentral:rRNA from 1 species
UACGUAGGGGGCAAGCGUUGUCCGGAUUUAUUGGGCGUAAAGAGCGUGUAGGCGGCUUUACAGGUCCGUUGUGAAAACUCGAGGCUCAACCUCGAGACGCCGGUGGAAACCGUAAAGCUAGAGUCCGGAAGAGGUGAGUGGAACUCCGAGUGUAGAGGUGAAAUUCGUAGAUAUUCGGAAGAACACCAGUGGCGAAGGCGGCUCACUGGUCCGGUACUGACGCUGAUGUGCGAAAGCGUGGGGAGCAAACAGG